rnacentral:misc_RNA from 1 species
GAAAUGCGAUAAGUAGUGUGAAUUGCAGAAUUCAGUGAAUCAUCGAAUCUUUGAACGAACAUUGCGCCCUUUGGUAUUCCAAAGGGCAUGCCUGUUCGAGCGUCAUUUGUACCCUCAAGCUUUGCUUGGUGUUGGGCGUCUUGUCUCUAGCUUUGCUGGAGACUCGCCUUAAAGUAAUUGGCAGCCGGCCUACUGGUUUCGGAGCGCAGCACAAGUCGCACUCUCUAUCAGCAAAGGUCUAGCAUCCAUUAAGCCUUUUUUCAACUUUUGACCUCGGAUCAGGUAGGGAUACCCGCUGAACUUAAGC